rnacentral:rRNA from 1 species
CCUACGGGUGGCAGCAGUGGGGAAUAUUGGACAAUGGGCGAAAGCCUGAUCCAGCCAUGCCGCGUGUGUGAAGAAGGCCUUCGGGUUGUAAAGCACUUUCAGUGGGGAAGAAAGCCUUGGGGCUAAUACCCUCGAGGAAGGACAUCACCCACAGAAGAAGCACCGGCUAACUCCGUGCCAGCAGCCGCGGUAAUACGGAGGGUGCGAGCGUUAAUCGGAAUUACUGGGCGUAAAGCGCGCGUAGGCGGUCUGAUAAGCCGGUUGUGAAAGCCCCGGGCUCAACCUGGGAACUGCAUCCGGAACUGGCAGGCUAGAGUGCAGGAGAGGAAGGUAGAAUUCCCGGUGUAGCGGUGAAAUGCGUAGAUAUCGGGAGGAAUACCAGUGGCGAAGGCAGCCUUCUGGACUGACACUGACGCUGAGGUGCGAAAGCGUGGGUAGCAAACAGGAUUAGAUACCCUGGUAGUC